CCCGCGCCCGCCCCGAACAUUAACCCAACACCGUCACAAACCAUCGGGCCUGCUGUGAAAUUGUCUGUGUCAGGGCCGUGUAAUGACUCCACAACACGAUGACAAAAAACACGAUGAUAAAUCAACAACAUUUUUCAUUUUUCCACCGGUCUAAGUGCACAAUUAGUCACACCCAGAUCCACCGAACGCAGCUUCUUACAGCGUCUGGGGCAUUGGUAUAGCCCAGGUGUCUCUGCGAUGGAUCAAGCACAACGUCUAGAAAAGGGUAUACACUGGGUCUAAUCUCGGUAUAGCCCUGCUUUCAAACGCCUUUCCCUGAAGGGGAGCAGGGGAAGGGAGGAAAAGAGAGAGAGGAAAACAGUUUGCGAUAUAAAGCAAUCGCUUGACUAAACAUUGCGGCAGGUUAGGCGGGGAACAGUGUGAUCCCUACGUAGGCCGAUAGACAUAUGGUUUGCCCUGAGAGAGAGAGAAAGAGAGAGAGAGAGAGAGAGAGAGAGAGAGAGAGAGAGAGAGAGAGAGAGAGAGAGAGGGGGGGUGGGGGAGACAUUGAGGGAGAGAAAACGAGAGAUAUUGAAAAAGGGAGCGAGGGGAGGAGGGUGAAGAGGAGGGGGAUUCAGUGAACUAUUUUAAUUAAAGUAGGAGGCAGCCGCAGACUUGAGCAGCCUCUUCCUUUGUCCCCCAAACGCUGCAUGAAAAAUAUCACUUUGUUGCUGUAAGAUUCCCCUGAUUUCACGCCUUGAUGACUUCCGCUGCACUCUGAUCGCCCUCGCUCGCUCAGCUGACGGAUACCGCGCUCAGCGAGGAAAACGCGCUAUCUUUAAUAAAUGGUAUUAUUACCGCCGUAAUUACACAUCAUUCCGUCUCCCUUAAGACUAACCAGGCCCUCAACGAGAGGGCGCGGCAGAACGCAUCGCUCAAGAGCAGGGUCUGCCCGUAUGUUGGCCCACGGUGGUUACACCGCCGCCGCCAGGUCACCGUGUUGCGUUGCGUUGUGUCCCAAGUUGUGCGUCACUGAUGUGCGCUGAACGAGGCGCCUCGUGACAUUGCUCCUGUGUGUUUUCGUACGAGGCAAACCUCAGCACAGAAGGGAACACAGUGACUUCACAGCCCGCGUCGCGCGGUCAGCCACAAUAGAGGUACGUGGCGGGGGGGCUUGCGGAGGUGCGCGGACGCGCCGUGGCUCGGCGCUAAUGCGGUGUGUCAUGAAUUAUGCCCAGACCCGGCGCUGUAAGCUGCGCACGUAUUAGCCACGGGCGAAACAUGGCUCUCGGUUAGCUCUAAGCCGGCAGUACAGAGGGGCGUGCGUGUAGUACAAAACAAACAGCGGCCGCGGCCGCGGCGUAGUGAAUCUGCACAUCAAAGCCUGUGUUGUUUUUUUUGGCGUAUGCUAUUAAUGAAGGUUAGCUCCCCGCUAUACGACAACGCCCAGCCUCAUUACAGAACCCGCUCUGGAAGGAUAGCUUAGCUACGAGGAGGGCUAUGCCUCGGAAGGAGAAAAAACAACACAUCAAAACAUCCACCCACAGUUAUUAGAAAGAACGGGCAGCGAUACAACUCGAGUCCUCUCUCCGAAAUGUGAUUGCUUUAUUCCGACAAAUAUUUCAUGUUGCGUACCGGGGCACUUAAGCCCUCGUCCCCCCCUCGCCAUUCCUCUUGUCCGUUAGAAAACGCAGUUUUAUUACAUACACACACACACACACACACACACACACACACACACACACACACACACACACACACACACACACACACACACACACACACACACACACACACACACACACACCCACGCACACACACACACACACACACACACACACACACACACACACACUAAGAGACACACAAUAAGAGACACACGUACACUAAGAGACACAAACACACGCACACGCAGAAAAACACACACAUACACUAAGAGAAACACACCACACACUGGGACACACACACACACAGACGCAUACAUACACGCAUACACACACACACACACUAAGAGACACACACACACACUAACAUACACUAAGAGACACAAACACACGCACACGCAGAAACACACACACAUACACUAAGAGACACACACACAAACACUGGGACACACACAGACACACAAUGGGACACACACACACACACACACACACACACACGCCGUCUCCAGCAAACAUGUCGGAGGGUCGUGUGUGCGGGAGGACAGCGGUAUCAAUUACUGUGUACAAACACGGCGGACAGAAGGAACCGGCUCGUGUUUGUACUGACAGCGACUCACGCCCGCUGCUGCUGGGCUGAGCGAGGGAAGAGACGCUGAGCUGUAGGAGGAAGGGCUCAGGGAGGAUGCCUGUAGGGAGUAGAGAGGAUGCUGUCGCGUCGUCGUGGCGAUGCCCCACUGGUACUAUACGAGCCGAUAUAGCAAUAUUGAUUAUGGUACGAUUAUCGUCGAAUUUGCGUUGAAACAGGGCGCAAAGUUUAUGUUUUUUUUCCUUAAUUAACACAGAAAAAGCUGUUGAGAUACAUUUUCACACCAGCUACCACAGUUACUAAUGUGUCACAUGUUGCUGUGGGCUGAUGUGUUGCAUUAUUAUCCUGUGUGGGGAGGCCAGUCGCCACUUUUAACUAUUUUCUUCCAUUACACCUGAAAGACACAGCAUCUAGGAUGGGUAGCAUUACAGUAUUUUGCCCAAAGAAAGAGAAUACAGUGAGUGUUGAGUAAAAUAGCAAAUAAUUUCAGUGCUGAUAUGAUAUCCAUCAUUUCCCAGAUGGACGGACACACACACACACACAAAAAAACACACAUAACACACAUACAUGCACACACACACACACACACACACACACACACACACACACACACACACACACACACACACACACACACACACACACACACACACACACACACACACACACACACACAUAAUAAGGAGAGCUCAGCAGUUUGUUUGAAGGUCUCGUCCAAGCAGGGUGUGUGUGUGCGUUUGUGUGUGCUAAGUGUAUGUGUGUGUGCAUGUGUGUGUAUGGGUGCAUGAGUGAGUGCACACACGAGCAUAACGCUACGGUAAAACUCAUUAUUUCCUAAUUUCUCCAUCCCAGCCGUGCUAUCCCAGGGCUGUGGAACCAGGUUCCACGGAGAGCUAAAGGUGUUCAGGGCUUCUCCUUUUUUAAUUCCCAUCAUCUCCACAUUAUCUCCCAGGCGUUGUCAUGCCUGCCUUCUGAAGCUGAGGACCUAUGGCCCGUGGGGCCGCCAUCUUCAUAUAUUAAACUGGGUUUUUAAUAUAUCAUAGGUUCUGCUUUUUUCCCUCUCUAGCGAAAUGAAAAGACACCAUAGCAUGAAACAACAUGUUUCAAAGUAUUUCAUUCGUAAAGAUCGGCCCGCUGAAGUAAUAGCUGCAAAUGCACAAUUAGCGCCCAAUUAAAUUCAACUCUGCAGUGAUAACUAUGAACGUUCCAUUUACAAUCGUUAAACUGCGCGGUACUAACGUUAUAACAUCAUAGCGCCUCCCUUUAUAAAAUAGACUUCCCCUCUUCAUUGUGUGUAAUCUGGAGCCUCCAUGCCCCCCGUCCCAGAGAGGGUAACCUCCACUGCCCCGCCGGCGAACCCUACACUGGGGUAGUCCCUGCAGUCUCUCUCUUACCCAUCCCCUGCAGAGAGCCGGACUGAGCCAGAGCUAAUCUCUCCUAGCUUAACCAAGCUCUCUCUCCCUCUCCCCUUCCCCCUCGGUGUCUCUCGCUCUCUUGCACUCCCUGCACACAUCUCUCCCCCAUCUCUCUGUAUCUUUGUCUCAUUCAUCACACUGUGUGUGCUCACUGGGUUUGGAUGACACACAAACAUGGACAAGCAAGCACCGCCUGGAGACACACGCACGCACACGCCGACGUUUGCACGUGCACACACACACACACACACAGGAAAAGCGUGCACAUUGCGGAGAAAACACGUUCAUGCGUGCCUGCGUCUGCGCGUAGACACACAGACACACACUCACAAACACACACACAAACUGGUUCACCCUUCGUUCAAAGAGUCUUACACACACGCCACCGAAUCCCCAAGAAGCCCAGAUCCCCUUAAAAGCAGUGCAACGACAGUGCAUCAUUAGAAACACACACACACACACACACGUUCAACCCAGAUUCCUAAACAGCCCUCCCCGUCCUCAUCAAAGCGUGUGAGAGAGACCAGAGUGUGGGCAUUCGCACAGUGGCGGCGGGUGGAGUCUAAAUCGGGACGCACGGCCCCGUCUCCGGGGCGAGGCAGAGUGCGAGAGAGAGAGAGAGAGAGAGAGAGAGAGAGAGAGAGAGAGAGAGAGAGAGAGAGAGAGAGACAAGGACACGCUGCUUUGGUUGAGGCGUGAGGCCUCUGGGAGACGACGCCGACCUCUGACCCCUGACCCCUGAACUCUUAACCCCCUUCCUCCUCACAGUCAAUCAGCCAGCAAUACUCCUACGACUCCGAUGUAUAACCCUCCCGCCGGACUGCUUUCCGGAACGGUCCAGUUUUCCGUGGGUGGGGAUGGGGGGGUGGGGGGGGGGUGUGUGGCGUUGUUAUGACGACAGCCUUAUUGUGGACCGGGGCCCCUGAGGGCCGCAGGACACGUGGACCCUUCGGCCUUCUCUCGGACACUCGAAGAUUAACACUGGUUUGCUGAGCAAAAAGACUGUGAAUACGAAUCAGAAAUAUUAUAUAUACAUAUAGAAACGCUACGAGUCCUUGGACGUGAUAUUUAAAUGUGGGUCAUGCCGUGGAGUGAGUCUUACCUCUUUUCCUGUUUCCGUUGCACAUUGUUUCCUGUUUUUUCCCCGUUUGAGUUGAUCCUAUUUUCCCGUGUCAUGUGGAUGAUAUAGUGUACGGAUGAUAUGAUGGCAUUUUAUUGUGGUUUUUCGAACACUAUAAAGAUCAAUAAAGUACACACGAGUACUUAUCCCUUUGAUUGUAAAACUGAAAAAAAAACAACACUCAUCUCUGGUCCUUAUUGUGCAGAGUGCCGGAGUCUCGACAGCGUGUCAACAACUAUGAAAUCUCGCUCUUUUUUCUCAUCGGAUUUGCAUACUCGUGAUUUCGGAGGCUGCCGGGAAGGGAAAGAUGUGACAAAAUCCUUCUGCCACGGGCACAUCCUGACACACACGCACCCAGAUGGAGGGGAAACCUGCACGGAGAACAAAGAGGAGGUGUCUGUGUGUGUGUGUGUGUGUGUGUGUAUAUGUGUGAUAUUAUGUUGUUUUGUGUGUUUGUGUUUGUGUGUCUUGGUAUAUGUGUGUGUGUGUGUCAGUAUGUAUGUGUGUGUGUCUGUGUCUGUAUGUGUGUAUGUGUGUGUGUGUGUGUGUGUGUGUGUGUGUGUGUGUGUGUGUGUGUCUGUGUGUGUGUUUCAGUAUGUAUGUUUCUGGUGUCUGCGUAUCUGUAUGUGUGUAUGUGUGUGUGUGUGUGUGUUUGUGUGUGUGUGUCUGUGUAUGUGUCUUAGUGUGUGUGUGUGUGUAUUUCUUUUAGUGUGUUUGUGUGUGUGUGUGUGUGUGUGUGUGUGUGUGUGUGUGUGUGUGUGUGUGUGUGGUUGUGUGUGCUCCAGUAGGGGAUACUACAGGAACACAACAUCAACCCUGCUAAUUAGCCCGUUCUUCCCGUCCCCAUCUCCCGUCUUUAUUUUCUCUUCCCUUCGUUUUAAGAUUGUAAUUGUCAUUACAUUUGUUUUGCCUUCUUAAUUAAAUCCCAGACAAGUGUUAACGAGG
ensembl:lncRNA